AGAAAACAGCAUCACAUGAAACGCCAAGUGCCCUGAUCAUCACAAGCACACGUGCAUGGGCGUCUCUAACACCCCUCCUCUUGCUCGGCCAGCCCUGGGGGCACCCGGUGAGCAGAGAGGGGCACACGCACCUUCUCACUCAGCACCUUGCUCUGGUGGUUCAGGUACACGCGGCAGACCAGGCAGAACUUCAUCAGCCUUUUCCUCAAGUCCAGGAGCGCCUCCUGCCAGUGAGCAGCCAGCGUGCAGGUGCCUCCCGUCAGGUUCCAGCUGCUCAGGUCGUGUGCACUGGCCAGAAACACACACAAGGCGUUUGGGGGCCCAACCCCAUCAGGAGCUCCAGCAUCCCCCAGCUGAGAGAACACGUGGAGAAGCGUGUUGCUGACCUCGAGCACCCCACAUUCAUGGCAGGCCCUGGGCUGGGGGACGCAAGAGCAACCUGGAGUCCUGCUUGUGGAAAUAAGCGGGACCUCACAAGCAAAGUGCCUGAAUCAGGGCCAGAAACCUGGCCCUCAGCCUGUGUCGAUAAAGUUUUAUUGGAACGUGGCCCAGUGACGUGUUGUGUCUGGUGCUCUCGUACUGCCACCCGAGAACAGGAUGACCCACUCAGCCAAAGAAACGUUUAGGAUGUGGCUCUUUACAGAAGCCAUCUGCCCGCCAAGUGCAGACAGGCCAGAGCCUCCGUCAGGCAGUGUUUUCUGGGGGCUCCCGGGGCUCCCGUGGAGAAUAAUGGAAUACUUUGUUGCCAUCCCCCGCACGUUCCCACGCCCAUCACAGAUGCAGCAAGAACAGUCGGGGCUCAAACGGGGAACGCACCCCGUGUCCCCAGAGACCAAGAGCCGGUCCCCCAGGUACACGCUGGAGAGUUCACGGAGCUGACCCGACAGGUGCGGAGCUUUACAAAACGUCAACAGAACAGAAAGGACUGAGCCCCAGCAUCCUCGAUCGGCGUGUCCUCCCUACCGCCGUGGAUUUCCCACACCCUUCACGACACGCUCCAUACCCACACCCACACCACAGACCCCACUCCCCCACACACCCCCACAGCCAGCACCUCGCGU